rnacentral:lncRNA from 1 species
CUGGUCUAGAGCCUUUAUCUGGAAAAGGGAGAAGUAUAGGAGUAGGAUGGGACUGGGGUGCCAAGCCACUAGGCUCCCACUCUGCCCUAAGGUCAAGGUGGACAGGCUAGCUGGGUGCGGAGAGGCAGUCCACUCCUGCAGCCCUUGCUACCACUCCUCAGGCUGGCUGCUGGCUCCUUGCCUGCUGAGCAAAGCAGAUUCCUG